rnacentral:rRNA from 1 species
UACAGAGGGUGCAAGCGUUGUUCGGAAUUAUUGGGCGUAAAGCGCGUGUAGGCGGCUUUGCAAGUCGGGCGUGAAAUCCCACGGCUCAACCGUGGAAGUGCACUCGAAACUGCGCAGCUAGAGUCCUGGAGAGGAAGGUGGAAUGCUUGGUGUAGAGGUGAAAUUCGUAGAUAUCAAGCGGAACACCGGUGGCGAAGGCGGCCUUCUGGACAGUGACUGACGCUGAGAUGCGAAAGCGUGGGGAGCAAACAGG